UGCAGUCGAGGGGUAUAGGUUUUCGGACCUAGAGACCGGCGCACGGGUGCGUAACGCGUAUGCAAUCUACCUUUCACAGAGGGAUAGCCCAGAGAAAUUUGGAUUAAUACCUCAUAGUAUAACGACUCGGCAUCGAGAUGUUAUUAAAGUCACAACGGUGAAAGAUGAGCAUGCGUCCCAUUAGCUAGUUGGUAUGGUAACGGCAUACCAAGGCGACGAUGGGUAGGGGUCCUGAGAGGGAGAUCCCCCACACUGGUACUGAGACACGGACCAGACUCCUACGGGAGGCAGCAGUGAGGAAUAUUGGACAAUGGGCGCAAGCCUGAUCCAGCCAUGCCGCGUGCAGGAUGACGGUCCUAUGGAUUGUAAACUGCUUUUGCACAGGAAGAAACAACUCUACGUGUAGAGUCUUGACGGUACUGUGAGAAUAAGGAUCGGCUAACUCCGUGCCAGCAGCCGCGGUAAUACGGAGGAUCCAAGCGUUAUCCGGAAUCAUUGGGUUUAAAGGGUCCGUAGGCGGUCUUAUAAGUCAGUGGUGAAAUCUCCCCGCUCAACGGGGAAACGGCCAUUGAUACUGUAGGACUUGAAUUAUUAGGAAGUAACUAGAAUAUGUAGUGUAGCGGUGAAAUGCUUAGAGAUUACAUGGAAUACCAAUUGCGAAGGCAGGUUACUACUAAUGGAUUGACGCUGAUGGACGAAAGCGUGGGUAGCGAACAGGAUUAGAUACCCUGGUAGUCCACGCCGUANACGAUGGAUACUAGCUGUUGGAAGCAAUUUCAGUGGCUAAGCGAAAGUGAUAAGUAUCCCACCUGGGGAGUACGUUCGCAAGAAUGAAACUCAAAGGAAUUG
rnacentral:rRNA from 1 species